AUUGAACGCUGGCGGAAUGCUUUACACAUGCAAGUCGAACGGUAGAGGGGGCAACCCCUUGAGAGUGGCGAACGGGUGAGUAAUAUAUCGGAACGUGCCCAGUCGUGGGGGAUAACGUAGCGAAAGUUACGCUAAUACCGCAUACGAUCUAAGGAUGAAAGCGGGGGAUCGCAAGACCUCGCGCGAUUGGAGCGGCCGAUAUCAGAUUAGGUAGUUGGUGGGGUAAAGGCUCACCAAGCCAACGAUCUGUAGCUGGUCUGAGAGGAUGAUCAGCCACACUGGGACUGAGACACGGCCCAGACUCCUACGGGAGGCAGCAGUGGGGAAUUUUGGACAAUGGGCGCAAGCCUGAUCCAGCAAUGCCGCGUGCAGGAAGAAGGCCUUCGGGUUGUAAACUGCUUUUGUACGGAACGAAAAGGCUCUGGUUAAUACCUGGGGCUCAUGACGGUACCGUAAGAAUAAGCACCGGCUAACUACGUG
rnacentral:rRNA from 1 species